UUACAAUAUUAACAAUAUUAUGAUAAACCCUUUUCAUAACACUGAAAUCAAGCAUUUUGGAAGACAGGUCUGCGUGCUUGCAUUGAGUUUCAGAACCACCAAAUGUUGCAGCUGAUAAUGGCAAUCCAGUAGCUCAUUAAUGCACGAACUGCUGCUGCACCAACUCUGCCACAACAGCCAACCACGUCCAUGGCACCACCUCAAUGCAUUCCACCGUUCUGAACUUUCAAUGAACAACAAGAGGAAUGGAAUGAGUGGUACGCACAGUUCAGUGCUCACUGUUCUACACAUCAAGUGAAAGAUUUGCAUCCUACAGGGAUCUUGCGGCCACCUCCACGGUCCACUUCGGCACUGCCCAUGGAACCAAUGGAGCUGGACCCAUCGCCAUCGCCACUGCAAAAGCUCAACUUCCCAGCACUUGCCUCAGCACCCGUUGUGGACCUGGCAUCAUCGUCAUCGCCAUCCUCUCCAUUUUUGUCAGACUGUCUCAGGAAGAGGGUGGGCACCUUUUUGGGUGUUUUCUGACCGACAUUCCUCUUGGAGCACAGGACAGAUGUUGGGGUGCAGCCGGGGCUCGGCUUCGGUCCCAUUUCCUCAUGCCACACCCCAUUUCCUGCCUCCUGGCCCUCCCCCCUCCCCGACUGUUGUGAGAUGGCUCCCUACAUGCAAUGGCGAGGAUAUUGGGGGGGGGGGGGGGG